UACGAAGGGUGCAAACGUUUCUCGGAAUCAUUGGGCGUAAAGCGCACGUAGGCGGCUUCGCAAGUCGGAUGUGAAAUCCCUCGGCUCAACCGAGGACGUGCAUCCGAAACUGCGGGGCUUGAGUACAGAAGAGGAUCGCGGAAUUCCCGGUGUAGAGGUGAAAUUCGUAGAUAUCGGGAGGAACACCAGUGGCGAAGGCGGCGAUCUGGGCUGAUACUGACGCUGAGGUGCGAAAGCGUGGGGAGCAAACAGG
rnacentral:rRNA from 1 species